rnacentral:rRNA from 1 species
UACGAAGGGGGCGAGCGUUGUUCGGAGUUACUGGGCGUAAAGGGCGCGUAGGCGGCGAUCCAAGUUAGGCGUGAAAGCCCCGGGCUUAACCUGGGAAUUGCGCUUAAGACUGGACUGCUUGAGUGCGGGAGAGGUGAGUGGAAUUCCCAGUGUAGAGGUGAAAUUCGUAGAUAUUGGGAAGAACACCAGUGGCGAAGGCGAAUCUCUGGACAGUUCCUGACGCUGAGGCGCGAAAGCCAGGGGAGCAAACGGG